GAUGAACGCUGGCGGCGUGCUUAACACAUGCAAGUCGAACGAAGCACUUUAUUACGAUUUCUUCGGAAUGACGAUUUAGUGACUGAGUGGCGGACGGGUGAGUAACGCGUGGGUAACCUGCCUUAUACAGGGGGAUAACAGUUAGAAAUGACUGCUAAUACCGCAUAAGCGCACAGGAUUGCAUGAUCUGGUGUGAAAAACUCCGGUGGUAUAAGAUGGACCCCGCGUCUGAUUAGCCAGUUGGCAGGGUAACGGCCUACCAAAGCGACGAUCAGUAGCCGACCUGAGAGGGUGACCGGCCACAUUGGGACUGAGACACGGCCCAAACUCCUACGGGAGGCAGCAGUGGGGAAUAUUGCACAAUGGGGGAAACCCUGAUGCAGCGACGCCGCGUGAGCGAAGAAGUAUUUCGGAUGUAAAGCUCUAUCAGCAGGGAAGAGAAUGACGGUACCUGACUAAGAAGCACCGGCUAAAAUACGUGCCAGCA
rnacentral:rRNA from 1 species